rnacentral:misc_RNA from 1 species
GAACGCAUCUUGCGCCCAGUGGUAUUCCGCUGGGCAUGCCUGUCUGAGUGUCGUUACUUCUCAUACUUGACACUUUUGUGUUAUGUUAUGGAUGGUGGGUGUUUGUAAGGCUUACGCUUUACACACCUCAAAUGUAAUCCGGUUUAUACUUGAUUUUACGGCUUGACCGAAUGUUGUAGAUUGUACACUUCAUUUGGGACGUGAAAAUAAGAUGAGACCUAAACGACAUGUAACUUUCAAUUUUGACCUCAGAUCAGGUAGGAUUACCCGCUGAACUUAAG